rnacentral:rRNA from 1 species
GCAUAUCAAUAAGCGGAGGAAAAGAAACCAACAGGGAUUGCCUUAGUAACGGCGAGUGAAGCGGCAAUAGCUCAAAUUUGAAAGCUGGCCCCUUUGGGGUCCGCGUUGUAAUUUGUAGAGGAUGAUUCGGCGAGGGCUCCCGUCUAAGUCCCCUGGAACGGGGCGUCAUAGAGGGUGAGAAUCCCGUAUGUGAUGGGUUGCCUUAGCCAUGUGAAUCUCCUUCGACGAGUCGAGUUGUUUGGGAAUGCAGCUCUAAAUGGGAGGUAAAUUUCUUCUAAAGCUAAAUACCGGCCAGAGACCGAUAGCGCACAAGUAGAGUGAUCGAAAGAUGAAAAGCACUUUGGAAAGAGAGUUAAAAAGUACGUGAAAUUGUUGAAAGGGAAGCGCUUGCAGCCAGACUUGUCCGCAGUUGCUCAGCCGGUCUCCUGACCGGCGUACUCUUCUGCGGCCAGGCCAGCAUCAGUUCGGGCGGUCGGAUAAAGACCUCGGGAAUGUAGCUCCUCUCGGGGAGUGUUAUAGCCCGGGGUGGAAUGCGGCCAGCCUGGACUGAGGAUCUCGCUUCGGCUAGGAUGCUGGCGUAAUGGCUGUAAGCGGCCCGUCUUGAAACACGGACC